UCUCUCUAGCAUUUCCAUUUUUUGCAGCCGCCUCUAAUUCGCUUGGUGCAGGUCGGGACUCACUUGACGCCGCCACUUGUUCCGGAUUGUCAUUUCGGUCCCUGUUCAGGGGUCUAGAUAAAAUGACAAUCCGGAACAAGUAAAAAGGUUUCCCAAGCCAUUGAAUUGGUGUUGACUGCAGUGAAAAUUGGGUCCCGCCUUGCAUCAACUGAAUUGGAGACCGCUGUGAAUUGAGUAUUUUGGAUUGAUUUCAGUUAAAUCAGCUUCGUUCUGGGUCGAUCUAAUAUCGGCUAUUUGCUUUGACUCAGGUUUAAUCUGUUCAGUUUGAUUUGGAUUUGUUACUUAUUUAUAUGUGUGUGUGUGUUUUGUAAUUUGUACUUCAGAUUAGAUUUGCGUGGAGGAUUGCGUUCAUACCUGCACUAACGCACUGGAUCCCAUCAGAACUCCGAAGUUGAGUGCUAAUUUGUACUGCUGUAAUUGUAUUCUUUUGUUGUUAUUACUGUCCUUUUGCAGGAUGCUUUGUCAUGCUUUCUUUAUUAUUUGCUAUGAUUUUCUUUUUUAUUUGCAAUGCUUUCCGAACUGCUUUUAUAGGCUUUCUUUGAGCGGAGGGUCUAUCGGAAAGAACCUCUCUAUCCAGAGGCAAAACCAAACCAGGAUUUUAACGCAGAGGGGGCACCAAUAACCAAUGCCUUAAUAAAGAUAUGUCAAUUAUUAUUGUGAAAGUUUGGCGUGUUUGAAAACCUUAUAAUUAUGGUAAGUUAUUAGGAAAGUAGUAGGAAUAAACUUCAAAAUUGGAAGAAGGAAAAUGGGUUUAGAAUGGGAAAAAUUUUUGCUAAUUUUUCAUCUCUGCGUUGGAGCAGAAAAAUUGAAUCUUUUGUGUGGUGUGUGUGCACGCACGUGUGUGUCGUUGGGGGGGGGGGGGUUAUAAAGAAGAUUUAUCCGUAGAGAAUCUACAAUACAAAACAGAUUCAACAAAAA